rnacentral:rRNA from 1 species
UCAGAGCGAACGUUAGCGGCAGGCCUAACACAUGCAAGUCGAGCGAGAAAAGGGCUUCGGCCCCCAGUAAAGCGGCGGACGGGUGCGUAACACGUGGGUAAUGUGCCCUUCAGCGGGGGACAACAGUCCGAAAGGACUGCUAAUACCGCAUACGUCGGUCGGGGCUGCGGCCCUGGCCGGGAAAGGUGGCCUCUCCAUGGAAGCUACCACUGAAGGAGCAGCCCGCGGCCCAUCAGCUAGUUGGCGGGGUAAUGGCCCACCAAGGCAAAGACGGGUAGCUGGUCUGAGAGGAUGAUCAGCCACACUGGAACUGAGACACGGUCCAGACUCCUACGGGAGGCAGCAGUGGGGAAUAUUGGGCAAUGGGCGCAAGCCUGACCCAGCCAUGCCGCGUGAGUGAUGAAGGCCUUCGGGUCGUAAAGCUCUGUGGGGAGGGACGAACCAGCCGGGCGUGAACAAUGCUCGGCCCUGACGGUACCUCCUUAGCAAGCACCGGCUAACUCCGUGCCAGCAGCCGCGGUAA